GGGGCCCGCCGGGCAGUGGGGGCCUAUCAGGGCGCGGAGUGUGGCCAGACCGCCGGGUUCAGCCGCCACGUGAGUGCUCCGGCGGCCGCUGCCACACACCGGCGGGCAGCAUGUCGGCGACUGCGGUGGCUCGAAAGCGGGGGAAGCCGGCCUCGGGGGCCCGAGCCGGUGCGGGGGCCGGCAAGCGGCGGCGAAAGGCCGACUCCGCCCGGGACCGGGGCAAGUCCAAGGGUGGCGGCAGGAUGAACGAGGAGAUCUCCAGCGACUCCGAGAGCGAGAGAAACCAAUGAAAAAAUAUCCUGGGGUGAGGAUUGAAAAAGAAAGCUGGCUUUGGAAAUUCUGCUUCCAAAAUUGCAUUUUGUUGGCCUUCACCUGCUCACAGAAAGACUUAAUAUACGUUUCAUAGUCCUAAGGUUACAUGGCUAUGUGUGCACCAAGCCCUUUGCUAAACACUUUGAAAUGCCUUUAAAAUGUGUUGUGGGCC